AUGAACACAGCUAUUCCUUUAGUUUUCCCGCAUAUCUGCCACAGGCGUUGUUUGUUUCAUAUUAAAAAGAAGGUUGAGGAAAAAUGUACUAGGACUUUUGCAACACAUAAGACACUACAUGAUGAUUUCAGUGACAUCAUUCACAACUCUCUGACAGUGGCUGAGUUUGAGCAAUUGUGGACAGAAAUGGUGGAGAAAUACAACAUUGGGCAUGUGAAGUAUUUUCAUAUCAUGUGGAAGAAAAGGAAAAGGUUUGUCCUUGUGUAUUUCAAGACGGACUUCUUCCCCUUCAUUCACUCUACUGCGCGUAGUGAAGUCACCAAUGCCAUUUUCAAGGACAACAUCACGUCAACUCACAAUGUGAUCAGCUUCCUCCAAGAGUACCAGAAGAUUUCAGAGACCAUACAAGAUAAGGAGAGGCAGCAAGACUCUAUCACAAGAACAACUUCGUCGACAUUCUGGGUACGAAGUGAGCUUGAGAUACAAGCUGCAAAAAUGUACAACAGAAAGAUAUUUUACAGAUUCCAAAAAUAG
rnacentral:rRNA from 1 species